AUUGAACGCUGGCGGAAUGCUUUACACAUGCAAGUCGAGCGGCAGCGCGGGGGCAACCCUGGCGGCGAGCGGCGAACGGGUGAGUAAUAUAUCGGAACGUGCCCAGUCGUGGGGGAUAACGUAGCGAAAGCUACGCUAAUACCGCAUACGAUCUAUGGAUGAAAGCGGGGGGAUCGCAAGACCUCGCGCGAUUGGAGCGGCCGAUAUCAGAUUAGGUAGUUGGUGGGGUAGAAGCCUACCAAGCCUUCGAUCUGUAGCUGGUCUGAGAGGACGACCAGCCACACUGGAACUGAGACACGGUCCAGACUCCUACGGGAGGCAGCAGUGGGGAAUUUUGGACAAUGGGCGCAAGCCUGAUCCAGCAAUGCCGCGUGCAGGAUGAAGGCCUUC
rnacentral:rRNA from 1 species